UGAUUGUUUUUGGUUUUCUUUAAUGUUCAGAUUUUUGCAAAGCUGUUUGAAUGGAAGUGCUGAUCCUCCAUGGGAACCUGCUUUCCUUCUUGCAGCAUUGGAUUUCUUGGAAACCAAAUUCUGACAUAGGGUUAUACUGUUUGUAGCACUACAGUAUUGUAGAUAAUUUGGAUUGCUUCCGGCACCAUGAUGGAGUCCCCUUUGCUGAGAAAAGAUGUUUUCAACAAUGUCGCUGUUCACAAAUCCUGGUGAAGAAGAGGAGAGCACUGGAAAGCUGUUGUAGACGUUCAUCCUGAAGGUCUGCGAUGGGACGUCUGUCAUGGAAGACAUUUAUCAAAAGACUAGUCUGUUCCAAUAAUUUGAUGGGCCCAUCACAGCGGGAUGCAGCAAGAGUACUGUCCCCCAAACUUUCCUUGAACUGUCGCAUGAGAUGCAGCAUGUCUGAGUUGAGGCAUUCCUCGGCGAGAUGAUUCCUCAUUUUUUCUGCUUGGUUUGGAUGCAGAUGUUGAGAGAUAUCUGAAAUGACCCAUCAACAUUGAUCAACACUUCCAUCAGAAUUUUAUGACCAUUGCAAGAUAAGGAAGUAUCUUUCGCAAAAACAACGGAAGAGGAUGAGUUCCUUAUCAGAAAAAAAUCAUCUGGAAUACACUUGUAGAUGUCUUGCAAAUUUGCAGGAGUAUCAACAUCACAUCUUGGAGCUAAUCCUGUAUACACAAAAAUUUUUUGAGUCCAGUUUCCCUUUUUACGGACUUUUUCUCUUUUUACACCCUUGAAAGUGUUUGAAACAAGUCGC